rnacentral:lncRNA from 1 species
AAUAUAGUUUGUACAUUAAUGUUUAAGUGAGGUUAUCACUAAAAAUAUGUAAUGGGUAAAUCAUUGUAGUACUGUAGUUUUGUAUUAUAGGAACUACUACUGUACUAACUACCUUAAACCGAAUUUAUAUUAAGGUAUAGUGUGAUAAUUGCACCAUACUAUCGACUGGUAACAACGACAUACGAAUGGUCGUAAUAACGGAAUGACGUUUGGCACCCGCAGACCUGCAGGUCCGGCUGUAGCUAGCAGCAAGGUGUAGGAUAGUCAAUCCAGUAUAGAUCUAUACGCAAACUCACGCUCUCCCUCCAAGAGAAUUCUGGCUACAACUCGGGCCAUGACAUUUAAGGCAUGCUCCGAUACAGUGGAUCACAAUUGUUAACGUAUUCUUGUAUAUGUAAUGUAAUGUUUCUCGUUCUAGUAUAGUUGUAUAUGUUCUCCUCCUAGUAUAGUUGUAUAUGUUCUCUUUCUAGUAUAGUUGUAUAUGUUCUCUUCCUAGUAUAGUUGUAUAUGUUCUCUUUCUAGUAUAGUUGUAUAUGUUCUCUUAGUAAUGUAAUGUAUAGACUCAUGAAUGAACUGACUCAUUGAUCUAGAAGUUGUAGUAGUAUGAUCCUGUGUUACCCCGAUGGUAACUUACUAAUGAUGUGUAUAGUACGCAUGAAUAUGGAAGUACUUUUAUGUCUAUAUAUGUAUAUUUGAUAUAUAAUUAAUAUUGAAACGACCUUCGGAUGGUCACCCGAAAUCCCACCAGACCACAUCCAAAUCGAGAAAAAGGAAAUAGGGCGGAUGGCCUUCCUAAGCCCUUUAAACAUUGCUUAUAUAUCUAUACAUAUAUGGGCAUGCAAUUUAUAAGAAGUAUAACAAAGUUUAAAUAAAAGUAUUUGAUAAGUAAAAGAGUUUGUAAAACAUUUUGAAGUAAAGCAGUUUGAUAAACAGUUUGAACAGUGAUAAAAUCAUUGGUUUUCUAGUUAUUAAUCACAUGUGAUUAAUGUAAUCACAUGUGAUUGAUGCAAUAACUAUAAGCAUUUAACUUGUAUCCCCCCCUAAAGUAUUUAAAACAUUUAAAAGUAUUUCAAAGGUUAAUUAAAGGGGUAUGAACUCACUUGUGGUGAGUGGUUUGGAUUGUAGUGUCGGAUACCGUGCUAGGUGGCAAACGGAGACUUGUUCACACGCACGAGCCUAGUUAUCAUAUAAUGAGCAUAUAUAUAACUAAUUAGCCAAAUAAUAACUUAAUGAAAUAAGUUGGGACACUUAGGAACAUGUAAACACUUUGUAUAAGUGUUAUAGGUCCUAAUGGUUGCAUCUAAGUUGCUACGGGACAAGGCUAAAGGGGUUUAAUGUACCAAAUGACCUUGUAUAUGAGUUUACCACCCAACAAACCCCACCUUUGGAGUUUACGGUCGUAAACCCUUGAGUUUACGGCCGUGAACUCUUGACUUGGUGGUUUUGGGUGUUUUAAAGUGUUAAAUGAAUUCUAGAAUAAGCCUAGCAUUGGUGGUUUAAUCCUUUAGGUAGUUUAGGGCCUUAGAAUGCUCCUUUGAGGAGUUUACGGCCUAAAGACCAUAUCCCCUAGAGUUUACGGCCGUAAACUCCUAUGGGGUGGGUGUUUUAAUUCUUUUAAGCCUCUUGCACACAAAGGAUAAAUUCUAGACUUUUGUUUAAGGCUAAAGGGGACUUUAGGCACACUUUGGUGCCUUUACUUGGAGUUUACGGCCCAAGAGUAUUUCUUGGCCGUAAACUCCCCUUUAGGGAUGAUUUUGAUGUGAUUUACUCCCCAUUCAAGCUACAAGUAAUAGAGGGUUAUUGUCUAAAGCCUUAAGGGGUGUUUAGGGCACUUUAAGCCCUUGAAAAAUGGUGUUUACGGUCCAAGAAACUCUUGGGCCGUAAACUCCAAAAGCUAAGUGUUCUUGAUUGUGUUCUAGCCUUAAAAGAUCAUACAUAAUGUCCUUAACUAGUUACCUAACAAGGAAAUGGGACUAGGUAGCUCUUAGGCUUCGUUUUGGAGUUUACUCCCCAAGAACGUUCUUGGGCGGUAAACUCCCGGAUCUUACAAAUUUGACAUGUAAACUAUGUUAUUAAGCAUAUAACAUGCAUUAAAACACAACUAGGAAAGUAGACUCACGAUUUGGGAUGAAAACCCGAAGAUCCGUGAGAGAGAAAUUGGCUUUUCUCUAGUUGGAAAUGUGAAUAAUGAAUAAUUUAGUUCAGAAAUCUAUUUAUAGUCCUGAAAUAUUUUGGCAGAAAAUAUUUUAUUCUGGAAUUGGACUCUAACAUGAUGAAGUGUUGAAAUGCUCAAGUUUCACAAACCCAUGAGCAUCCACUCUCCUGAUAUCUCCUUAAAUGUAAACCCUAAUGUACACAAACUUAUUCGGAAAAGUCUGAAGUUCAUUGAAACUGGACUAGCUUCUAUUGAAUAGUUAGUGUUCGUACAAAAUGGAAAUUUCGGGUUGUCACAUCAUCCCCCCGUUAGAAGGAAUUUCGUCCCGAAAUUAGAAUUUAAGCAAAUAAGAAGUUACAAACAAUUAAGCGAAAAGAUGAGGGUAUUUCAGUUUCAUCUGAUCCUCGCGUUCCCAAGUGAAUUCCGGUCCUCGCUUGGCGUUCCAGCGAACCUUCACGAUAGGGAUACGGCUUUGCUUCGUCUGCUUGACCUCACGGUCCAUGAUCUCUACAGGUUCUUCCACGAAGUUGAGGCUCUCGUUGAUCUCGAUCUCGUCGAGUGGGAUUACAAGAGUCUCGUCGGACAGACACUUUUUCAAGUUAGAUACGUGGAAUGUAGAAUGUACGUUACGAAGUGCGUCGGGUAGGUCGAGUUUGUAAGCUACGGGGCCGACUCUUGCAAGAAUCUCGAAAGGCCCUAUGUACCUCGAAUUAACCUUCCCACGCUUUCCAAAGCGUAUCAAGCCCUUCCAGGGUGAGACUUUGAGAAGGACUCGGUCUCCCACCUGAAAUUCCAAAGGUUUUCUUCGUUUUUCAGCGUAGCUCUUUUGUCGGUCUCUAGAGGCUUUCAAUCGUUCACGAAUCCGAACGAUUUUCUCUAUCAUUUCUCAAAUGAUCUUCGGACCGGUGACUGUACUGUCGGAAGCUUGCCCCCUGGCUAAUUGGGUAUCACCCACCUCAUCCCAGCACAGAGGGGAUCUGCACUUUCGGCCGUAGAGAGCUUCAAAUGGAGCAGCCUUGAUGCUCGUGUGAUAACUGUUAUUAUAGGAAAACUCGACAAGGGGUAAAUGAGUAUCCCAUGCCUUCCCAAAGUCAAUCACGCAGGCUCGCAACAUAUCUUCCAGUGUUUGGAUGGUCCUCUCACUCUGUCCGUCGGUCUGAGGAUGGUAGGCUGUGCUCAUGUCCAGCCUCGUUCCUAGGGAAUGUUGUAGUGAUUGCCAAAAUCUUGAGGUGAACCUACUAUCUCUAUCGGAGAUAAUGGAAAUAGGUACACCAUGAAGCCGUACGAUUUCUCUAAUGUAUGUUCUCGUAAGUUUCUCUAUUUUGUCGGUUUCUUUGCUAGGCAGGAAGUGUGCGAACUUGGUCAAUCUAUCGACGAUGACCCAUAUGGUAUCAAGUCCACCCGUUGUCUUGGGCAACUUGGUUAUGAAAUCCAUAGUGAUCCGCUCCCACUUCCAUUCUGGAAUCUCUGGUUGUUGCAAUAAACCAGAGGGCUUCUGGUACUCGACCUUAACCUUUGCGCAAGUAAGGCAUUUACUUACGAAGGUAGCAAUCUCUGCUUUCAUAUUAGGCCACCAGUAUAGCUUUUUAAGAUCCAGAUACAUCUUAUCUGAACCUGGGUGGACGGAAUACCGAGUGUUGUGCGCCUCGGUCAUGACCAAGUCUCGGAAACCACCGUGUUUCGGUGUCCAGAUCCGGUUCAUGAAAUAUAAAGCUCCGUCACCCUUGGCUUCGAAGUUCUUGUCCAUUCCCCUAAGGGAUUCACUCGACACAUUUUCAGGUUUCAUGGCCUCUAGCUGAGCCGCCUGAAUUUGCUUAGUCAAGUGUGAAUGGAUGGUUAUUGAUAAUGACUUGACCUUGCGACCAGAAUAUUCUUUCCGACUUAGGGCGUCUGCUACUACGUUGGCUUUACCCGGAUGAUAACGAAUAUCGCAUUCGUAGUCACUGAGUAGCUCGACCCACCGUUGUUGUCUCAUGUUGAGCUCCUUCUGAUCGAGAAUGUGUUGCAAAGUCUUGUGGUCGGUAAAGAUAGUGCUUUUCGUUCCGUACAAGUAAUGUCUCUAGAUCUUCAGAGCCAACACCACUGCUCCCAGUUGAAGAUCGUGUGUCGUGUAGUUAACCUCGUGCAUCUUCAACUGUCUCGAGGCAUAGGGGAUAACCUUACCUCGCUGCAUCAGAACACACCCGAGCCCUUGAUUCGAUGCAUCGCAAUAGACUACGAAGUCUUCUAUCCCUUCGGGGAGGGAUAGUAUUGGCGCGGUGCACAAGGCUCGUUUGAGCGUUUGGAACGCUCUUUCUUGUUUCUCUUCCCAGUCAAAGGCCACGCCUUUCUGGGUCAGGGUUGUAAGAGGCUUCGCUAUUCGGGAGAAGUUCUGAAUGAACCUGCGGUAGUAGCCAGCGAGACCUAGAAAUUGACGAAUUUCUGUAGGCGUCUUUGGUGCUGACCAGUUCUCAAUGGCUUUUAUUUUGGAUGGGUCCACGUGGAUUCCCUCUUCGCUUACCACGUGUCCUAAGAAUUCGACUCUUCGGAUCCAAAAUUCACAUUUCGAGAACUUCGCAUAAAGUUUCUCCUUUCGUAAUGUCCCUAGAACUUGUCGCAGGUGAUCGCCAUGUUCUUCCUUACUUCGGGAGUAGAUCAGGAUGUCGUCAAUGAAAACGAUGACGAACUGAUCCAAGUAAGGUCGGCAUACUCUAUUCAUCAGAUCCAUGAAGACUGCAGGCGCAUUGGUCAAUCCGAAUGGCAUCACCACGAACUCGUAAUGUCCGUAACGAGUUCGGAAGGCUGUCUUCGGCACAUCCUCCUCUAGUACUCGUAACUGGUGAUAUCCGGACCUCAGAUCAAUUUUGGAAAAAUAGUUCGCCCCUUGCAGUUGGUCAAAUAGAUCGUCUAUGCGAGGUAGAGGAGAACGAUUCUUGACCGUCAGUUUGUUGAGUUCUCUGCAGUCGAUACACAUACGGAAUGAUCCGUCUUUCUUCUUAACGAACAAAACCGGUGCUCCCCAAGGUGAGAAACUCGGCCUUAUAAAGCCCUUACUGAGCAGUUCGUUAAGUUGACCAGAGAGUUCCUGCAUCUCAGCUGGUGCUAAGCGGUACGGCGACUUGGCUACUGGGGUAGCUCCUGGGACUAAGUCGAUUUUGAACUCGACCUGUCGUUGCGGAGGUAAUCCAGGUAGCUCUUCGGGGAAAAUGUCGGGGAAGUCGCUCACUACUGGGAUGUUCUUUAGUUCUUUCGUUUCGAGGCUCGUGUCGACGACGUGAGCAAGGAAUGCAUGGUAUUCUUUGUGCAGAUACUUCUGUGCUUGAAUACUUGAUAUAAUACGAAGACUUGCACCAGGUUUGUCGCCGUAGACUAUAAGAGUUUUGUUAGAUGGGAGGUUUAACCGGACUGCUUUCUCGAAGCACAUGAUAUCGGCGCGAUGAAGACUUAACCAAUCCAUGCCGAUGAUAACGACGAAGCUUUUUAUUGAGACCGGCAGGAGGUCGAUUGGGAAUGAAUGGUUAUCUAGAGUUAGGGUACAACCUAAGUAUAUGCUACUCGUACUUUCAGUUUUCCAUUAGCCAUUUCUACUGUGAAUAGUUCUUUGAGUGCGUGUAGUGGUUGUUUAAGCAUGCGAGCAAAUUUACGGUUUACAAAGCUUCGCUCCGCUCCACUAUCAAACAGAAUGCAUACAUAGGAGUUAUCGAGGAGGAACGUACCAGUCACCACUUUCGGGUCAGCAACUGCUUCCCCAUGGCCUAUAGCUAGUACCCUCCCUGCUCCACCUGCAUUCUUUGCUUUGGGGCAGUCCCUCUUAUAGUGGCCUGCUUUGCCACAUCCAUAGCAAGUCGGGCUCGCGCCAGAGCCAGGGACCUGGGUGAUCGGUUGUGCCGGGAACUUAUAGAAACGGACGGUGUGUCCCUUCCUGUUGCAGUUAAAGCACUGCAUUUCACGGCAGGGGCCGUUGUGGUGGAAGUUGCAUUUGUUGCACUUAGGCAAACUUCCAGCAUACUAUUUCCCCGGAGCAGUAACAGUAGCAGGGGUUACUGCGGCAUGCACUGCCACAAUUUUCUACUUUCUGGCAGCUUGCUACUUCUUCUUUUCAUCCCAGAAUUUCCGCUUAGUGUCAGCGGGUUUGGAGGGUUCCGGGAUGGUUAGGGUGGUUGUUGUUGCAGGGGUUUUGACUCCAUGGUCAAUGAGUCGUUGUGCCAAUCGCUUGGCACUGUCGAAGGUAGCAGGGUUUGAUGCUAGGACAUUCCCCUGAUAUGGAGGCACUAGCCCCCAUAUGUACCUCUCGAUCUUUUUCCCCUCAGUGGGAACCAUAUUGGGGCAGAGGGCCACCAGUUCGCUGAAUCGGGCAGUAUAAGCGACCACGUUGGUGCCCUUCAUAGUCAGGUUCCAAAGUUCCUACUCCAGUUCUGGACUUCGCCCCUCGGGCAGUAUUCCUCCAUCAUGAGGUCUUUCAUCGUUUCCCAGCCCAGGUCGUUGGCUACGACGAGGGUUAGUGCCUUAACAUGGUCGUUCCACCAUGUCAGGGCCUUUCCUUCAAAGGUUCAUGCGACAUAUUUGACUUUGCUCGCCGCAGGGCAUGAACAGAUUUCGAAGACUGAUUCAGUCUUCUCGAACCAUUGCGAGAGGGCAUUGACUCCGCCGGUGCCAUAGAAAGCCUUCGGCUUGCAAUUUGUGAAAUCCUUGUAGGAGCACUCUCUCGAGCGCACAGGGGUUUCAACCGAUACUGAGCCAUGGCAGUUGCCAUUGCUGCAGCUACGGCAGCAUUCAGGGCUGCAAUAUCGAUGCUCGGAGGCGGUGGAGGUGCAGGGUUUUUCCUAGGAGAUUUGCGAGGUGGCAUCUUUCAGCUAUAAGUUUAUAAAGAUAAGAAAAUGGUAAGAAUCAAUUUGUAAGCAACGUGAGAGUGACACAUGGACUAACUAACCAUAGUCCAACAGUUGAAUGAGUGUGGGAGAUCACAACAAAGAAUAUUAGUAGGAAACACAAUUGUAUAGAUAUUUCCCACAGAUUCUAUAGAUGUCAAUAAUACUGGUAUUACUGAUGUAAUAAGUUCAGGGAAAAUCGACCUAACAGUAGGUCUUACAUCAUACCAUAUAGAAAAGUUUGACAGUUCUUAGAUUCCUAAUUAGAGUACUGAAAGUUAGGAAUAUUUUACAGACAAGUGCUACUUAGAGCACAGAUGUUAAAGGCUAUUCUUUAAUCAAAAGACAGAGAUGUACUAGACAUCAUCUAACGGCGAUGGGAAUUCCUCGGGCGAGCCCUGAGGUCUGACACUUGACGAAACACCUCUUGAAGGUGUCGCUCCUGAGCCCUCUGACGGGCUCGAAGUUCCAAGACUUCAGCUCGGGAGGCAGCCAACUGUUGCUGCAGGGUUUCAUUGGUUCUUCGGGUCCGUUCCAUGUCUUCUUCAAGACGGCGGAUGCGGACUGUGUUGACACCUGAUUUGGAAUCAAUCUCCAUGACCCGGUCGAUGGCUGCUCGACCUUGCUCAUCAUGACGAGCUAUUCUGUGGAUAAUGACGGGCAGAGCUCGGUCAGCAGAACCACCUUCACUGAUGUUGUAAAAGCUUCGGUCCCCAAAUUAUGGUAAGGGUUGACUCUGUUCAUCACUCCAGCGAUUCAUGUUGGUUGCCCACAAGGGAGUAGGACCUGGAAAAGCUGGUCGGGGGUUGUUGUUCGGGGCUUGACCUACUAGCGGUAGGUUGUUGACUUCAGGCUCGGAGUCAGAUCCAUCAGAAAAGCCUUCUGCGAGGUGAUCAUCCAAAGGGAUUGGAUGCUCAUCUUCGGGCUCUUCUUCGAUCCACCCGGCAUUGCCUUCAUUUGGAAAGUACGGGUCGCCGUGAUGGAAUCCAGCCAUUUAAAUCUACGCGAGAAGAGAGGUAUAAGAAUAUAGUAUACAUGUAACUAGUAGUACAAAAUACACCUAUAGUAUUUUAAGUUUAAGUUCUACUGAUCUUCUUGUGGUAUUGUUGGUAAGUUUUUAGACUUGUUAACACAUCACAACCAUUCUAGGGCAUAUGCUAAUCACUCCUCGGACCAGCAUAGUUGAUCAGGCUAUGCCAUUCCCAGGACUGACCAUACAUCCCCGAGCUCACUUGUGAUAUUUAACAAUCGUAAUACUUUUGUUCUUGUCAUUGUGACACUGAUUUUAGUAUGAAUGCAGACUAGUAUACUUAAUUAAAUAUUUUAAUAUUUAAAGUAUAGACUCUGGGUCAGAGUGCUUUAAUCCCUAUUGGGUUUAUAGUUUAGUAUAUCUUUUAUGGGUUGAUAUACUUGAUUCACUAUAAACAAUGCUCUGAUACCAAUCUGUCACACCCCAAAACCAAGAACGGCGGAAACGUUCUGGGGCGGAGGACGUCAUGUAAAGUAUCACAACACAGUAAAUGUAAAUAAGCAAACAACAUCAUCCAUUGCAUUAAAUAUAUAAUUUUAAUACAAGCGUGUUCUGUACAGUUUUAGACACCAAAAAUAUAAUGUAAAUCAAAAUAAUAAGAUGAGUCUUGAAUGCGCUCCAUCUUCUCAAAAGCUGGCAUCGGUACCUGUCUACUGAUGACCUGAGAAUACAAGUUAUUUUGAAAGAGUUUAUCAGCAUUAAGCUGGUGAGUUCAUAAGUAUUUUAGUGUCGGUGUUUGUUAUCAAAACGUUUGAACGUGUCUCAAGUAUAAGUUUGUAAAAUGUAUGUAAGUGUUUGUAAAAGUUUGAAUCUCUCAGAAAAACCUAUAUUUUCUAUUAAAGUAGCCUUCUACCAAGGCUUAACUGUUUUGUAUGCUCGUUUGUUGUAAAAGUGUGUAAUUUCCCAAGUGUAACUAUCAUUUAACAAAUAUAGUUUGUACAUUAAUGUUUAAGUGAGGUUAUCACUAAAAAUAUGUAAUGGGUAAAUCAUUGAAGUACUGUAGUUUUGUAUUAUAGGAACUACUGCUGUACUAACUACCUUAAACCGGAUUUAUAUUAAGGUAUAAUGUGAUAAUUGCACCAUACUAUCGACUGGUAACAACGACAUACGAAUGGUCGUAAUAACGGAAUGACGUUUGGCACCCGCAGACCUGCAGGUCCGGCUGUAGCUAGCAGCAAGGUGUAGGAUAGUCAAUCCAGUAUAGAUCUAUACGCAAACUCAAGCUCUCCCUCCAAGAGAAUUCUGGCUACAACUCGGGCCCUGACAUUUAAGGCAUGCUCCGAUCCAGUGGAUCAUAAUUGUUAUCGUAUUCUUGUAUAUGUAAUAUUUCUCGUUCUAGUAUAGUUAUAUAUGUUCUCCUCCUGGUAUAGUUGUAUGUGUUCUCUUUCUAGUAUAGCUGUAUAUGUUCUCAUCCUAGUAUAGUUGUAUAUGUUCUCUUUCUAGUAUAGUUGUAUAUGUUCUCAUAGUAAUGUAAUGUAUAGACUCAUGAAUGAACUGACUCAUUGAUCUAACAGUUGUAGUAGUAUGAUCCUGUGUUACCCCGAUGGUAACUUACUAGUAAUGUGUAUAGUACGCAUGAAU